CGCCAACUGAGGAAUCCUGGCCAGGAGUGAGCAGGAAGUGUAGAACAAUUUCAUGCUUUCCCAAAUAUCAACCACAGAACCUGGCAGAAAAUUUCCCUGGUUUGGAACCAGCGGGCAUUGAUCUUCUUUCCAAAAUGCUUUGCCUGGAUCCAAGAGAAAGAAUUUCGGCUGAAGAUGCUCUUGAGCACGGAUACUUCAAUUUUAACC